AGGACGGAUUCCCUCGCAUCUCAAACUCGCCACUGCUCAUCCUUCCCACUGCACUGUGAGUCCUCUCCAACCUCGCAUCUCAAGCUCGCCUACUCAUCCUUCCCGCUGCACAGUGAAAAUAACCUAAACGCGACAUGUCACUCCAUGAGUUACAGCCUGGGGGUGGUGGCAGAUAACACAGAAUUUUCCUUGCUUUUGAAGUUCCCAUUUUCAGUAAAAGAUUGAUCCUUUCUUAGCUAAUUCACAAAAGCCACAUGGAUUUCGAUUUCCAAAAGAAUCGGUUUCAAAUUCUUAUCUUCAUCGCUGGAAUCGUGGCGCUCAGUAUCACUGAAUGCAGAUAACAAAGAUGAAAAGGUCAAAUAAUAAGUCUUCGUUGAAGCUAGGGUGAGAAGAACAACAACAAACGGCUCUAUUUGUGGGAAGGCCCCUUUUAAUAUUUCAAUUAUGCUAUUUUCUUCAAACUCUUCUUAAUCCAUUUCUGAGCGAACACUAUAUUCAUGCCUACAGAAGUCAAUAUUUUCUGUGGAAAAAUCCCACAUCUAAUCAUUUUCCUCAGAAACAAACAAGCUCUUAGGCUUUUCAGCUCAUCAAGCACAGAUAGCUCCACCAUUGCAGACCUUGUAGCAAAGCAACAUUGGUCAAAGCUCAAAACCCAUCUCCAAAACACAAACCCCAAAGCACUUCUCCACCAACUACUCACUUCAGAAGCUGAUUCAGAGCUCACUCUCAGGUACUUAACAUGGUCCCAGAAGGAGUUUAAACUUUCACACUCUCUAGAGCUCACUUUCAGAACGUUGCAUUCACUUGCAUGUGCCAAAAAGUACUCAAAGAUCAGGUCUUUUUUGGAUAAUUUCGUUAAGAAUGAGAAGAACUAUUCAGUUUCUUCUAUUUUUCAUGCAAUUUCAGUGGGUGGGGAUUCAUUUUGUGCCAAUUCAAUAAUAGUUGAUAUGUUGGUAUUGGCAUACGUGAAAAAUUUGAAAACACAUUUGGGAUAUGAAGCAUUUAGGAGAGCUGGUGAUUAUGGGUUUAAGUUGUCAGUUAUUUCAUGUAAUCCUCUGUUGAGUGCUUUGGUUAAGGAGCUUGAAAUUAGCAAAAUGGAAGUUGUGUAUAAGGAGAUGAUAAAGAGAAGGAUUGGACCUAGUUUAAUUAGUUUUAAUGUUGUGAUUAAUGGUUUGUGUAAAGCAGGGAAAUUGAAUAAAGCUAGUGAUGUUAUUGAGGAUAUGAAAGUGUGGGGAGUAUCACCAAAUGUAAUUACCUAUAAUACUCUCAUUGAUGGGUAUUGCAAGAUGGGUAAGAUUGGGAAGAUGUAUAAAGCCGAUGCUACUUUGAAGGAGAUGGUGGCAAAUGGGAUUUGCCCAAAUGAGGUUACUUUCAAUAUUUUGAUUGAUGGAUUUUGCAAGGAUGGGAAUGUAUCAGCCGCAAUGAAGGUGUUUGCAGAAAUGCAAAGUCAGGGUUUGAAACCGAAUGUGGUUACAUACAAUUCAUUGAUUAAUGGCUUAUGUUGUGAUGGGAAGGUUGGUGAGGCUACUGUUUUGUGGGAUCAAAUGAUUGGUUUGGGUUUGAAGCCAAAUGUCAUUACUUAUAAUUCACUUAUAAAUGGGUUUUGCAAGAAUAAGAUGGUGGUGGAAGCAAGUGACUCAUUCAAUGAUAUGCCAAAGCAAGGAAUAGCUCAUAAUGUUACAACUUACAAUAUAUUGAUUGAUGGUUACUGUAAAGCUGGGAGGAUAGAGGAUGCAUUUGCAGUACGUAUUACAAUGAUGAGCAGAGGUAUUUGCCCUAAUGUUUCAACUUACAACUGCUUAAUUGCUGGUUUAUGUAGAAAGGGAGAUGUGGAAGCAGCCUGGAAUCUUAUGGAUGAAAUGGUUAGUAAGGAUUUGAGAGCUGAUGUUGUUACCUAUAAUAUACUGAUUGACUCAUUAUGCAGUAAAGGGGAAUCAAGAAAGGCAAUGAGACUCUUGGAUGAGAUGUCUAGAAAAGGAUUAAAACCAAGUCAUGUGACGUAUAAUUCUUUGAUGGAUGGCUAUUGUAAUGAAGGAAAUCUCAGAGCAGCAUUAAAUGUGAGGACACGAAUGGAGAAAGGAGGGAAACAAGCAAAUGUUGUCACAUAUAAUGUGCUGAUAAAGGGUUUCUGUAGGAAAGGUAGGCUUGAAGAUGCAAAUAAGCUUCUUAAUGAGAUGUUGGAGAAGGGUUUGGUUCCUAAUCGAAUGACCUAUGAGAUUGUUAGAGAGGAAAUGAUCGAGAAAGGCUUUAUUCCUGACAUAGAAGGGCAUCUAUUUAAUGUCUAGCGAGCUUAAAGUUUGUUAAAUGGGUUGGUUAGAUGAUGACCAUCAUUUCAUCAUUUGAUGGAAUGAUGGCAUUAAAGGAUCUUGAAUGGGCCUUCCAGUGAACUUCUAUAUGACAGCUUAACUCAUCUAGUUGAAGGUGAUUUAAGGUGAUGCAUAUGAAUCAUUUUGGAACUUGCUGUAAAAUGCUUUCUCUUACAAAGAGUUCUGCUAUGCUUACAAGGAGUUUGUCAAUCUUGACAGAUGUGGAUGCAUAUAUGUAAUGUUUGGUUGAAUUUUUCUUUUGGAUAAAUUGCUAAAUUACCUGAGUAUUGGCCUAAUAUAUACUUU
rnacentral:misc_RNA from 1 species